ACUGUGCCUGUCUCAGUUUUGCUACCUUGCUUGGUAUCCUGUAUGCUCUAGUUCCUGAUCUCUGGUUUUGACCUUUGGCUCCAGCUCCUGACUUUGGGACUCUGGGCUCUAUUAAUACCAUUGCCUCACUGUGGAGUUGAGACUUGAAUAAUUGUCUGUCAAGUGAGUUAGGUCCCCAGUUAAAAGGAUUACAGUAGGUGGCACUGUUCAGACCAAAUACUGCCAAAUAUGAUUUAUGAUGAAGAAUCCGAUUAGUAACAGAGAAAUGUCAUCUAUAUAGUUUGAAGUGAACCUUGGUCCGAAGCAAUGUUGGAUGUCAUAGUGCAGCCUAGUAAUUCCUAAGAAACCUACCUCAUUAAAAUCAGUUUUAAGACAGGCCUCUUUUUUGUGUCAGGCUGUCUCCCUAACUGAGCUCACAACUCUCCCUGAAGGCAACAACAGCAAUAGUCAAGCUCUGGUAGCUUUUGAAGAGAUCUUUGUUUGACUAAUAAUGUCACACAGAGUUACAGCUUCAUCAUGGCUCUGCAUGCCAAUCAGAUGAGAGUACAUGCACUGUUGUAAUCUAUGGCAAAUUCCCUAAUGUCCUCAACUUUCAGACUGGUGUUGAAUUAGGGGCCUAUU